ensembl:lncRNA
UACAGAUGCUCACCUCUGCCAAAUCCCAUGUGACUACAACACAAGAAAAACUCAAAAGAAGAUACUGGUAAUCAAACCCAAAAAGUUGGCCAGGUGCAGAAAUGAAAGCUUCUUCACCGGAUUAAGAAGUGGAAAGACAUGAUACACCAUCGUAACCAUAAAUCCUGAGCAAUUUUAAAAUUCGCAACAACCAUGGAAAAGUACUCAUUGUUUCACUCAGAAAUGAUCCAUGGUAAUAGUUGUAAAUGAUUAGAUAAAUAAAUUAAAGUACAAAAUGUGUUUAAUUUUAAAACUUUGCCAUUUACUAAUGUGUUGUUCAAAACACUGAAUUUUGGCAUCUCUUUACAAUAAGGUAUCAUUAGUUAACAUUAAUAAAUUUUGAAAUUAACAUUAACAGUGAGCAAUACAUUUGUUACAAUAUGCAUUAAUCUUUAAAACUUUUAAAAAACAACUGUUCUUCGUUAGUUCAUGUUAGCUCUGAUCUAUUAAAUAAUGUCAACAGGCACAACUUUCGAUCUUCGAUCUCUAUCUACAGUUAACGAAGUUUAAUGUUAAAUAUUUGCCAUGUUAGUCCAUGUUGGGUAACUAAUGUUAACAAAUGAAACCUUAUUGUAAAUUGUAAAGUGUCACCUGAGCAUUUAUUGUUUAUACGUGUUAAAUUUUAGUUUCCAAGUAUAAAUAAAUACAAAGCUAAUUUCGCUCAUUGUUAUGUUUUAUUUAUAUAUACUUUCUGUAUAACUUUUUUUUUU